ACUUCUCUCUCUCUCUCUCUCUCUCUCUCUGUGUGUGUGUGUGUGUGUGAGAGAGAGAGAGAGAGAGAGAGAGAGGAGG